GUAGUCAUCCGGUGUCAAUUAUACAUGAUUUCUUUAACGGAAAUACUAAUGUCAUUUUGCCUUCAGCCACAAAAUUUGAACAAACCGGCUAGAUUGUAAGACCAAUACAAGUGAGAAAUAAAAAAAAAUAAACGAGGAAAUAAAAUAUAUUUUUUAAGUGCACUCACGAAAAAUAUUAAAUCAUAAGCACAAAAAAAAAAUACCAAUUCUAUAAUAUAUAAAUUAAAUGUACAAGAACACACCAUGCAUUCUAAAAUCUAACCUCAACUCAACAGUUCUGUCCAACUAAUAAAUAACACAACAC
rnacentral:lncRNA from 1 species